CGGCCCAACGGGCGAGGAGGCUCGGUCUCCACCCCUUACCCAUCCUUCAAGGGCCACCUCGCGUCGCACCAUCUCCUGUGCGCCCACCCGCUUCUGGAGACCGGAGCCUCCUCCCCCCCACGUUGCCCAGCCCAGGAUGCUGGGCGCCUGCCCGGUGGUCUGGCGGGGCUCCCAGUCCCCGUGUCUGAAGGCGAUUGCAGGUCAGCCUCCCGGGGCUCCUAGAAACCCUCCCCGCUCCUCCCGCUGAAAGCCCGGAGGCGCGGGCACCCCCACGGUGCGCUGCCCAGACCUCCUCCGCCGGCUCUGCACUCCCCCUGCCCCUCCCUCGGUGACGGGGAGCUCCCGACGGCCUGGGAACAGCCUGGCGCGCUGUCGGUUCUUCCCGCAGAGCUGGACUGACCGUUAGGGAGGAUCCUGGCUCCCCGUAACCCCCACUCGAGGGCCACCCGCAGCCUCAGACACUGCAAGACGGGCCCUAGCGGCCCCAGCCUUUCUUCCCCAGGGUUAAACAUCCCCGAUUCCUUCCACAUCUGACAUGGUCGUCCGCAAGUAGUGGGCACAGACGUGCGCGGUCUGACUUCCCACCCGCUGUCAGGCCUUACUUCAGCUGCUUUUCCAAGUUGCUGGUAACUUUCCGGGGCUUCCUGCUAAGCUCUUUGCUGGGCUUCCAAAGGCUUUUCCAAGGAGGAGAAAGCUCCUGCAGAUGCAGAAAUGGGGGCAGGGGAAGGAGGGGGCCAAGCCACGUGCUCAUCCAGGUCACUCUCCAAUGGGGGUGUCUCGCUAGAUUACGCUGCCUCUAGGUCACCUGUGGUAGACGUUUGGUGUUAUAUUGACACAAAAGGCCUCUAACAAAUUCUCUAACACCACCUGGUUGUCCAACAGUUCAAUUCAGUUCUGUCCCUGACUACCCAGAGUGAGCACAGACCCACCCCCCGUCCCCCACAGAUGAGAGGUUGUCACACAAGACCGCUACCACUUCAGCCACCAGCUGCAAAUGGGGUGCUCAGACUAGUCACCCUGUCCA